AUUAGAUACUUUUGUAGAUGCGUAUCUAUGUUUGAAGUAGAUUUUCCAAUUAUCUAUUUAUCAACCCUUUAGCUUACAACAGCAUUUGCACACGGCCCAUUUCUAAAACUUAGUACGCAGUUAAUUUUAAUUAUGUAGGGGUCGUGUGCAAUUUAUUGUUACUUACUUACCAUAAUGUGGUGUAGAGUGGCUACUUCGUAAUUGCACACCACCCUACUCAGCUUAAUUUUUGGACAAAUCUCUGGUAGAAUUGUAGUGUGCUGAAAAGUGUUUAACAAAAAACAUAUCUAUAAAACCACUUACACUCAAAACAAAAACAUCAGUCAGUACUAAAAGUUGCUUAAACAACAACAUCUGAAGUCUAUAUUUCUUGUGAAAAAACUUAAAAACAAACUAUCAAACAAAAUGCCUUGCCCCUGCGGAACUGGUUGCAAAUGCACUUCCCAAAACCAAACUGGCAAAUGCGGUUGCGGUACCUCAUGCAAAUGCGGAUCCAGCAAGUAAAUUUCGUUGCUGCUUUAAUUGGACCGUAUAACAAUUAAUUAAAAUUUUAAUUUUCUCAAAAUUUUGUUGUGAUCAAUCUUUUACAUAUCAAAUGUAUUAAUUAAUUUAAGUAAAAUUUAUUUAUUUGGCUUUAAUAUUCUUACUUUUUGACCAAAUAUGAAAUAAAAAUCAUUAAAAUCUAA